rnacentral:rRNA from 1 species
GAUGAACGCUAGCUACAGGCUUAACACAUGCAAGUCGAGGGGCAGCAUGUUGGUUGCUUGCAACCAAUGAUGGCGACCGGCGCACGGGUGAGUAACGCGUAUCCAACCUUCCCUGUAGUAGAGAAUAGCCCGGCGAAAGUCGGAUUAAUGCUCUAUGUUGUAUUUCGAUGACAUCUGAAGAAUACCAAAGGUUUACCGCUAUAGGAUGGGGAUGCGUCUGAUUAGGUUGUUGGCGGGGUAACGGCCCACCAAGCCCACGAUCAGUAGGGGUUCUGAGAGGAAGGUCCCCCACAUGGGAACUGAGACACGGUCCAAACUCCUACGGGAGGCAGCAGUGAGGAAUAUUGGUCAAUGGACGUAAGUCUGAACCAGCCAAGUAGCGUGCAGGAUGACGGCCCUAUGGGUUGUAAACUGCUUUUAUAUAGGGAUAAAGUGCACUACGUGUAGUGUUUUGUAGGUACUAUAUGAAUAAGGACCGGCUAAUUCCGUGCCAGCCGCCGCCGUAAUAC